AGAAUUGGUGAAGCCAAAAUGUAGAAAAGAAAGACUGCCAUAAUCACUGGUGAAUAAUACAGGGUUAGCUAAGCUGAACUAAAGUUGUAUGAAAUUACAAGAACAUUAGGAAAGGUUAAUCACAGUUAUACAUGUUUUAUGACCAAAUUGUUCUUUUCCUAGAUUACAUAUAUAUAUAUAAGAAAAUACUAGGAGAGAGAACAUGAAACAAAUCAGUUAAAGAUCGGAUGGGAGGGGUAAGGUUGUAACCAGCAUUUGUUCCCAGGCUGCUGUGAAUUGGAAAGUACGAAAAGCUUCAACUUUCAUGGCUCAAUUGUCAAAUUACAUUCUUUGUUUUUUUCAUCUCCAAUGUAUCACAGUUUCAGAAACAGCAAAACCAUUUCUUUGCUGGUGGAUCCUGGAAUUUUUCUUCAGGUUUGUGGAGAUUAUUGUUCCUCUGUGAGGCUGCUCCUGCCCCUCCUGUUGCAUUAGAUUUUUUCUCAUCUCUGGCUUUGCUAAAUAUUACAGUAAAUCCUUCAGCAGAUGCAGGAUUAUUCACAUCCCAUUCUCCAAAUUUCGGCAAAGGCCGACCCUUAUCCUGCGUCGACAUGAAGGAUUUAUUGCAGCAACGCCUAGCAGGAAGAAAAAAAAAUGCAGAUAGAAUAGAAAAGGAGAGGAGACAAAAGAAGAGAGAGAGAUGGAAAAUUAAGCAGGAUGAGUAAGACAAAG
rnacentral:misc_RNA from 1 species